UAAACACCAGUUCUCAUAUGAUCAUCAGAGUUAAGCAACAUCAAACCUGGUCAGUACUUAGAUGGGUGACUGCUUGGGAAUACCAGAUUCUGCA